CACUGUAAAUGCUAACAUUCAAAUUAAUUAAAUGUGAUAAGUGAACUAAACUCAAUUUUCAUCAACCUGUUGUGAACACUACUUUUAAAUAAGUAAGUAGUAAUUUGGGGUUGGAGAACUUGCUUAACUUGAUAUAUCCCAGUUAAGUCAAAUUAGAAAAAAUAAUUUCUUGUACCCAGUGUCCUUUGGGCGUUCUAUCAGACAUGCGCAGAUCUGCCCUGCCCACUUUCGCGCUCUUUCCAACACCUUUCUCAGUUAUUUUCGCCAUUGUGGGUUUACUUGUCCUCAGCACACUGAUUUGGUAAGUACAUAUUUUACUCUUUUGUAAACCGUCGAUUUGUCUUGUUGUAGUGUAGUAGCCUGUGUGCUGCCAGGGAGGAGAAGUGUCAAUUACAUCAAAUAUCACCGCUAGCAAGCAUGCUAUAUGACCGUGACAGGAACCUCAUCAUUUUCAGAAACAAAUGUAGACUACAGUUUAUGGUAGACUCCCAUUUUAUGCCGGCCGGCGUUUUGAAUUCUUGACAGACGGGGCUCGUAACGUUUUUAGGCGAUGGGAGAGGUUUUUAAAACCGAUUUAAAACAGUUACCGAGCGGUUUUAAGUUAGCUAGACCGAGGGGAGGUUCGCUUCCUGUUUUAAAAAUAAAAACACUAAUUCUAUCGUUGGCGGGUGUUUUAUUUUGUGAAACUAACAGGAAGUGCCUUAAUCACUACGGCUAGCUUGAGUAGCGCCGAAUUUGCACGUUGUGGAUCUAAACGGCUACUUUCUCACGUAAAAAUGUUAGAAAUGUCGAUAAAGUGAUUUAUUUACAGAGUUAGUGCUAGAAUUAAGUCAGCUUCAGCCUUUCUAUUUCGGCUCAGGUAAGAGCUAAAUGCACAGUCAGACCUUAUGUGCGCCAACGUAAUCGGUUCUUGCGUUGGAGCAGGGGUCCCCAAACUACGGCCCGCGGGCCGGCCGGAUACGGCCCGCCUCCACAAUUGGUCCGGCCCCCUGAACCCCCCCAAUAGUGUUAUUAUUUCCUGGCUUUUUUCUGUGAAGAACCCAGACAGGGUUAUUUGGUUAUUAUCUAUUUAAUUAAUUGUGUUAUUAUUAUUCAUUAUUAUAUGAUAUUAUAUUAUGUUAUAAUUAUUUUUAUUUUAUUUUGUUCCAAGAAGAAUUCAGAAAGGGUUAUUUAAUUAUGGCUUUCUGAAAAACAAUAAUUUUUUUACAUUUAGGCACUGCUGCAAUCGUCACACUUUUUCUGUUACAAACUGACCCGGCCCCUCAUCAGAGAAGGGAAAAGUCAUGUGGCCUUCAUAGGAAAAGGUUUGGGGACCCCUGCUUUAGAGUGUUUGUCAUCUGCCCUUCCAUUUGCUUUUCUUCAUGUGCAGUGCUCCCCCUCCAUGUUUGAUCAAACUGCACUGAUAAUUUGAAAUUGUUUUAAAAUGCAUUAAUCGCAAAAAUCAGAGGACUAGACCACAUUUCCCCCUGUUAUUUCACCACUUUAACUUUGGUCUAACCUAAUAUAGGAAUACAGAUAGAAAGAGUGCAGAGAUCACACUCGACGCCAUAACAACCUGGUGUGUUUAAGGCUGAAGCAAAUGGUCAAAAGUCCACACAUACCUCAGUCUCAGCAAUUACAGGUCAACCAAAGCAGUAUUCUCUAAUGCAGUGGACUUGCAAGUACUGCACAUUUUCUGCUGAAAAGAGCCUACUUGCUUAAGCAUUACCGCUUAAAACAUGGAUACCACACUCGGACAUCCCUACUCCCAUGUCUUCAUAAGGACUGCCUCUGCACAUUUAAAUCUUUUAAUGCACUCAAAGUACACCUAUCGACAUGGCACUCUCAAAAAGAUGCAGGCAAAAGUGGAGAAACUGCAUUUGACCGUCAGUUGUGCAACUUUGUGGAGCCCUGCUCAGAAGCAGACUUCUUUACCCAUUUGCGAGGACAUCUUAAGCUGAGGCAAAUGGUUACUUGCCCAUAUCAAGACUAACUUUCAGAGCAGUAUUUAUUCGACCUUCACUGCACACAAAAGCAAAGAAAUGUGAAAUGUGUUUGAGCCAUAGUGUGGGUAGGACAUUUGUGUCUAAAUCAUUCAAUCCCAAUAAAAGUUGCUUUAAUAAAAAAAAACUUAUUUUUAAUCAAAGAAAAAGAACCUUUUGCAAAAAUAUAUUUUUUUGAAAAUAUAUAUAUUUUUAAAUAUAUAUAUUUUUUAUU